GAAGAUGAUUUGAGGGUGGAUGAAGCCAAGGUCGAUGAGAGCAAACAAAUGGAUUUCGCUAAGGUAGAGAAGCGUGUACGAACAACUGGUGGGGGGAGCACAGGGACUGUUAGGAAUUUGCGUAUUCGGGAGGAUACAGCAAAAUAUCUUUUGAAUCUUGAUGUUAACUCUGCUCAUUAUGACCCCAAGACCCGGUCAAUGCGUGAGGAUCCUCUCCCAGAUGCAGAUCCAAAUGAGAAGUUUUAUGGGGGAGAUAAUCAAUACAGAAAUAGUGGUCAAGCUUUGGAGUUCAAGCAGUUGAACAUCCAUGCUUGGGAGGCAUUUGACAAGGGCCAAGAUAUUCACAUGCAGGCAGCUCCAUCCCAAGCAGAGUUGCUAUACAAGAAUUAUAAGGUCAUAAAGGAGAAACUAAAGACCCAAACAAAGGACAUGAUUAUGGAGAAGUAUGGCAAUGCUGCCAGUGGAGAAGAACUCCCAAAAGAGCUCUUACUGGGACAAACUGAACGACAAGUUGAAUAUGAUCGUGCUGGACGGAUAAUAAAGGGGCAGGAGACUGUGCUUCCUAAAAGCAAGUAUGAAGAAGAUAUUUACAUUAACAAUCACACAAGCGUGUGGGGUUCAUGGUGGAA
rnacentral:misc_RNA from 1 species